rnacentral:rRNA from 1 species
CCCUUAGAUGUCCUGGGCCGCACGCGCGCUACACUGAUGCAUUCAACGAGCUUAUAACCUUGGCCGAGAGGCCUGGGCAAUCUUGUUAACGUGCAUCGUGAUAGGGAUAGAUUAUUGAAAUUAUUAAUCUUGAACGAGGAAUUCCUAGUAAACGCAGAUCAUCAAUCUGCAUUGAUUACGUCCCUGCCCUUUGUACACACCGCCCGUCGCACCUACCGAUUGGAUGGUCCGGUGAAGCCUCGGGAUUGUGGUUCUUGCCGCUUUGUUGUGGCGUGACCGCGAGAACUUGUCUAAACCUUAUCAUCUAGAGGAAGGUGAAGUCGUAACA